rnacentral:rRNA from 2 species
AGUGGGGAAUAUUGCACAAUGGGCGAAAGCCUGAUGCAGCGACGCCGCGUGAGGGAUGACGGCCUUCGGGUUGUAAACCUCUUUCAGCAGGGAAGAAGCGAAAGUGACGGUACCUGCAGAAGAAGCGCCGGCUAACUACGUGCCAGCAGCCGCGGUAAUACGUAGGGCGCGAGCGUUGUCCGGAAUUAUUGGGCGUAAAGAGCUCGUAGGCGGCUUGUCACGUCGGUUGUGAAAGCCCGGGGCUUAACCCCGGGUCUGCAGUCGAUACGGGCAGGCUAGAGUUCGGUAGGGGAGAUCGGAAUUCCUGGUGUAGCGGUGAAAUGCGCAGAUAUCAGGAGGAACACCGGUGGCGAAGGCGGAUCUCUGGGCCGAUACUGACGCUGAGGAGCGAAAGCGUGGGGAGCGAACAGGAUUAGAUACCCUGGUAGUCCACGCCGUAAACGGUGGGCACUAGGUGUGGGCGACAUUCCACGUCGUCCGCGCCGCAGCUAACGCAUUAAGUGCCCCGCCUGGGGAGUACGGCCGCAAGGCUAAAACU